rnacentral:rRNA from 1 species
CCUACGGGGGGCAGCAGUGAGGAAUAUUGGUCAAUGGACGCAAGUCUGAACCAGCCAAGUCGCGUGCAGGAUGACGGCCCUAUGAGUUGUAAACUUCUUUUGUCUGGGAAUAAACGCAUACACGUGUAUCUGUUUGAAAGUACCAUAUGAAUAAGGAUCGGCUAACUCCGUGCCAGCAGCCGCGGUAAUACGGAGGAUUCAAGCGUUAUCCGGAUUUAUUGGGUUUAAAGGGUGCGUAGGUGGUCUGAUAAGUUAGUGGUGAAAGUCGGAGGCUCAACCUCCAAAUUGCCUUUGAAACUGGUCGUCUAGAGUGUAGUAGAGGUAGGCGGAAUGUGUGGUGUAGCGGUGAAAUGCUUAGAGAUCAUGCAGAACUCCGAUUGCGAAGGCAGCUCACUGGACUACAACUGACGUUGAGGCACGAAAGCGUGGGGAUCAAACAGGAUUAGAUACCCCAGUAGUC